GAGGUGGCCGAGUGGCUGAAGGCGCUGGUUUGCUAAAUCAGUAUACGGGCAACCGUAUCGAGGGUUCGAAUCCCUCUCUCUCC
rnacentral:tRNA from 1 species